ensembl:lncRNA
CGCCGCCCAGUGUCUCCUCCUCCUCCUCCGGGCCUGUCACCAUUUCCACACACAGCAGGGUCUGUGGGGGCGGAGGCUUUUUCCAGACAUGUAUUUAAGUGAGGAGAGAAAACAAGGCGAGUCGCCCAGGAUUUGCCAAGUCAGUAGGCAGGAACACAACUCGAGAGGCCAAAAAUAAGACGGCGGCGAGGGUCACCCUGCUCUUCUGAGCCGGGCGCUGGUGACGGCCCGUGCUGAGCAUUCCACAAUCACACUUCUGUCUGAGGGUGCCCCUUCAUCCCGGGGCAUCGGCCUCCUGGUCAGAAGGUGGCAGAGCCCUGACUGUGGGCAGUGAGCAAUGGUGACUCAGGAAAAUUCGAAAGGACACAGGGAACACCCCCAAAGUCAUCUGGGGACAGGCCCUGGUUCCCCCUGCCGGUCAGGGAGCCAGGAGUUCUGGUCUCCCAUUGUAAAGGAGGAAUUUCUGAAGUUCUCUCUGGAACUUUGGCAGAAUUCUGUGGGAUCUUUCAGAGGAAGCAUUACGCUUUGGGUGUUUUUCUGGAGGGGAAAUUACUAAGAUUUCUUUCACCUUUAUAGCUAUUUGUGAAUUAGCUCCUUUUCCCUUUUAGCUCCAGAUUAUAUUUGUCUCUUUAUUCUGAUGCAGCAUCUGUUACCUUGUAUGACGAACAGUACUCCCGAAAGCAAGUAAUGACAGUAAUAAUAGCUAACAUUUAUUCAGCCCUUAUGGCACACCAGGUACUGGUCUCUCUGUGUGAUUUUUGUGGUUCAUCAAAUCUGAGGCUCCAUCAGUCUUCAGAUAUGCCAUGUAUGAUGUACCACUAAAGAAUACUGCCAAUUAAUCCACGACAUGCCAUUGAUUUUAAGAUUCACUUGACGCUCAGAAAUGUUAAAACGGGAACGUUAGAAUCAAUGAAAUGCAGUAACCGAUUCUCAGUUGUCAUCCUUGCCUUACAGCCUUACCGAGGAACAGAGAAGUUGGGUAAACCUGCCUGAUGCCACAGAGCGACUAUGUGGUGGAAAUGGGAUAUGAACCCAGGUUCAGGCUUCAAAACCUGGGCUCCUAACUGCCACGCUGUAUUGUGGCUGAGAAGUGGUUUCUGUCUAUCCACCCGCGGGACAGAAGGCGGGACACAAAACACAAGAGGGAGAGCUGGACCCCACCCUCUGCUCCCUCUUCCUCAUUGCCCCCAGGGCCAGUGUUGAUGCCCCGUCUAAAAACUGCUCCUCCUCUCACUCCCAGCAGCUGGCACCCUGGUUCUGUCCUUCCUUGCCUCCCUCUUGCCCCUGCUUGGACUGCUGCAGUAGCCUCUUAGCUGUCACCCUCCUCCGAUCUUUCCCCCACACCUCCACACACACAGACACACACACUGAGACAGUCAUCUUCUUAAAAUGUGAAUCUGGUCUUGUCGCUGUUCCAAAACCUUGAAGAGAUCCAAAUCCUAACAAGCGAUUUCUCACUCGUUUAGCUGUUUCAGCACCUACUCUGUGCCCAGCUCAGAGGAUGGAAAGGUGAGCAACCCCCAGCGUGGUCCGCAGCCAUGGUCUCACGGAGAAGCGAGACUCCUCAGUGGGCAGGUUCACAGAAAACCAGACAGAACAAAAUGGGCAAAGAGGACCGUCCUCACAGAGGCCUCUCUUCGGCAGGAAGGCAGACGGUCAGAUACGCCAAGCCCACAGUUGCUAUCCCUGGCUGGGUGAUGAUCAAGAGACCAGGCAGUAACCAGGCGAUGUAGCAGCAGUCCUCGGACGUGUCUGCGAAGGGGAGAGGUGCACCCCCGCCCCAGUCUCCAGAGAGAAGCCUGUGUCCACUCUAGAAAUGAAGCAAACAACAGCCACUGUUAAGGCAGGCAGCCCUAUGUGCCCAGAAGAUGCCCAUUUUCCACUCACCAGGCUGCCCAGACAGCUCAGAGGGUGAGAGGUCUUCUACAACAUAGCUCCCUGUGCCCCCCCAGCUCCCCCUACUAGAGGGUCGGUGCCUCUCUGCACAGAUGGUAACUGGAUGGCUGCAUCGUGCCGGGUGGAAACGCAUUUACAGUAUGGGACGCUGGUGCUCUGACACAAGCAGGGGUCUAGGGUAGAGAGCCCGAGGGCAGCCGGAAGGGGACCCCGGGGCGGCUGAGGGGAGGGGAGCAGCGUGAGGACUCCCCAGAGAGGAGGUGGCAGGUGGAGCUGAAGAGAAAAGCUUGGCGGCUUCCCAAUUCAGCUGGGCCACAGCUUUGUCAAUGGCCAGCUCUCUACCCGCCGGGCCCCUGGCCUGGCCCCGGGCCUGCGGUUUUCCUCAGUAGAACAGCGGGCGGCAGCUUCCGAGAAACCCCACCAAGACUUUCCUGUCAGGGCAACUCCAAGUUCCUCUUCAGGAAGGGGAAGUGGGGGAGUUUCUCCUAAGGGCUUUCAGUUUCUUUCUAAGAAGCCGGAGUGUCCCAACCCCGCAGUGCAGAGCCAGGUGUUAAGGGAAGAGACGUCCCACGGCAGGGGCUUUCCUAUCUCGGGUUCACAGGUGGACAUUCCAAAAGAGGAAAACUGGACCCGAGUUUUGCAGGCCCUUUCCCAUGCCCCUCUCCUUUCUUCCCCCUCCGGUCACACGUCCCCUGCGCCCCUCCCUGCCCCCACCAACACGUGCAGUGCAUGCACAGAAUGUGGCCUGCCCUCCCUCGGGGACCUGCCAGGUGGAAAUUUAUUUCCUCAGCCCUCCCAGCCGACGUCCUGGGAGCUCAGCUUCCUCGGGGCUCUGCUGGGCGACUCAACAUCUGACCCAGAUCAAGACCCAACAGGUGACUCCAGCUUCUUGCCGAUGCUGGGCCACGGAAGACCUCCAAACUUCUUUGAGGACACACUGUGGGAGCCCCAAGAACUGAGAGCCUGCCUUUUUUUUAAGAAGGCUUGGCUUGGUGGCAAAGCAGAAGUCCUGAUGUGAUUAUAAACAAGAGCCACCAUGGAGGCUAAGCACUUACCGUGUGCUAGCAUUUUACAUGAAUAUCCUCCUGUAACCCACCCCCCCAACCGAGGGGGCAAUCCCAUGACAAAGACACCAUUGUUACUCCUGAAGUCAAGCAACCUGCCCAUUCACCCAGCCCGCAAGCCUGUUCUUCCCAGUAGACUGCUUCUCAGAAAGGCGGGGAAGAAAGACUAUCAGGCCCUCAAAGGAGCUGGCUGGGAAGGUGUGAUCUCCAAUAUCGCCGAUCCUCAAAGCAAGCUCUGAGUGGUGAAGAGCCAGCGAUCUAGUUACCGCCGGCUUUGCAGCACGGCCACGGCUGGGGGUCUCCCCAGGACAUCCACACUCCUGUCGCCUCUUCUGUUCUCCUCUUACAGGCAUCGUGUUAGGGUUUCUGCUUUGCCAACACAUGCGUUAUGGGGACAGUGUGGGGAUUUCCCCAAACCAUGACGCUGUUCUGCUCAAAAACAUUUGCCUAGAAGUCCACAACUGUGUGACUCACGCUGUUGAGGUGUCAAGAAAACUCACAGCUGCAGGGUGGAGGGGCCGGACCCACACGGAAGGGGGCACUCGGAGGGUGAGCAGUUCGGUACAUAAAAAUACAGGACACCCAGUUACAUUUGAGUUUCAGAUCAACUACAACAUUUGGGAUACCCUGAUACUAAAAAAAAAAA